UACGUAGGUGGCAAGCGUUGUCCGGAUUUACUGGGCGUAAAGAGCGCGCAGGCGGUCGAUCAAGUCGCGUGUGAAAGCCCCCGGCUCAACUGGGGAGGGUCACGCGAUACUGAUCGACUCGAAGGCAGGAGAGGGUAGUGGAAUUCCCGGUGUAGUGGUGAAAUGCGUAGAUAUCGGGAGGAGCACCAGUGGCGAAGGCGACUACCUGGCCUGUUCUUGACGCUGAGGCGCGAAAGCUAGGGGAGCAAACGGG
rnacentral:rRNA from 1 species